rnacentral:lncRNA from 1 species
AUGCAGGGAUUACCACUUUUUGUAUUGUUUGUUUUAAUGGAUUACUGAUUUUGCUUAAUUCUUAUUGUGGGUACAGUUGUGGGUUGUGAUCUGUAGUGAUUGGGGAACGAGUUGUGAGGUCAUUGUUUUGACAAAUGCUUUAUGUUGAGGGGAAGAGAGUGUGAUUUGUCGUUGAGAUGAUAUGAUAUGAUAUGAACUUGAUGUUUGGUUGUGUUUUGUGGAAUUAAAUAUUGUUGCUUUAAUUAUCUCACGAGCUGAGAAAUUAUAAGCAUGAGUGACGU